CCUACGGGUGGCAGCAGUGAGGAAUAUUGGUCAAUGGGCGUAAGCCUGAACCAGCCAAGCCGCGUGAGGGAUGAAGGCUCUAUGGUUCGUAAACUUCUUUUAUAAGGGAAUAAAGUGCGGGACGUGUCCCGUUUUGUAUGUACCUUAUGAAUAAGGAUCGGCUAACUCCGUGCCAGCAGCCGCGGUAAUACGGAGGAUCCAAGCGUUAUCCGGAUUUAUUGGGUGUAAAGGGUGCGUAGGCGGCCUUGUAAGUCAGAGGUGAAAGCCGGUGGCUCAACCAUGGAAUUGCCGUUGAAACUGGGGGGCUUGAGUAUGGUUGAGGCAGGCGGAAUGCGUGGUGUAGCGGUGAAAUGCUUAGAGAUCACGCAGAACCCCGAUUGCGAAGGCAGCCUGCCAAGCCAUGACUGACGCUGAUGCACGAAAGCGUGGGGAGCAAACAGGAUUAGAUACCCGAGUAGUC
rnacentral:rRNA from 1 species